AACAACAAGAAUAAUAAUAACAACAACAAUGACAACAGCAACGACAACAACAACAGCGACAACAGGAAAAACAACAACAACAACAACAAAAACAACAGCAACAAAAACAACAACAACAACAACACGAUUAGUCAAUUUAUCUUCUCCUCGUAACUUUUUUCGUAACUCCUCUUAUAAAUAAUGUAAUUUAUCUUGAUAAAAAAUUAUCCUUCAUGAUAAAUAAAGAAAAUAUAUUAUUUAAAAGGGUGCAAAUCUUCAAAUUAGAGAGACACACUUUUUUUGUUUUAAAUAUUCAUACUCAUAAAUCAUAUGUAAUUGCCUAUUAAAUUUUUAUACUCGUGAUAUCCAUUUUAAGAUGAAGGAAUCAUCUGAAUGAAGCCCCUUCUGGACUCAAAACACGUUCAUUUGACUCUAUGAGGUUUAAUGUGCAAGCUGAAAAAUUGCAUAAAAAGAAGAUCUCUAGUGAAUGGUGCUACAAUUGCUCAGAAGGAUGAGAGGAUUGAUAUUAUUAGUGUCAUCUAAGGUAAAGGUUAUGAAGGUGUUGUAACUCGUUCAGGGAGUAACAUGUGUUACUUGAAAAACUCACGGGGCUAUACUUAAGGUUGCAUGUAUCAGUGCCUGCGAGCCUGUUGGAGUUUCAUUGAUGACUUGUGCUUGUCAAAAUGGAUACCAUCACCUACUUAGAAGAAUAGAGUUUCAACAUUUACUCCAUUUGGAACAGAAGAAGUUUUAAAUAAUUUAUUGUUAUUGUUAUUGUUUAUUUUCAAGAAGGUGUUUUUGAAGAUAAUUUUGAACAUUUUAAUGCUUUCUGUUGUCUCGAAGAUUGUAGUUGAGAUUUGAGAACACUCUUAAUACAAAAGUUUUAUUGUUGUCGUUUAAA